rnacentral:lncRNA from 1 species
UCUAGUAAGUGGUUCCUUCCAAUGUGCACACCAUGGAGCAAAGAUAUACUAGGCAAGAAGCUUGAUACUCUGGUGCGUGCACAGUAUCAUCAGUGGAGAAGGAGAGAAAGUGUAGAGUGACACACACAGCGUUAGAUUUGAUUUGAGCUGACAGUGGUGGGAAGGACUCGCAGGAGGGGGCUCGUCUGUGUCCUGGUUCCAGAUUCUCCCUGAAUCCCUGUGGAUUGGCUGGCUGAAAGAGCAACAAUGGAGUCUUUUUGCGGGGAGAGAGGUCAUCCUGUGGCAGGGCAUGAAAUAUGGGCAGCCACACAAACCGAGGCAUUGACUGUGUAAAACACUGAACAGCGGGGAGAGGAAGAGAAGAUGCACCCUGUUAAACGUGACAGAAAUCAGUAGGCAGGACUAGGCCAGAGGAACCCCUCUAACCACACGCUUUCUUCUCACACCAGAAUCAGGCCUCAUCAAUCUGAUGCUGUGUAUGUGUGUGUGUGUUUCUUAUCUCACUGGCAGAAACUGUAAAGAACAUUGUGAUUAUAUUUAUUCUGACUAUGCCAUGUUGAAUAAAAAUAACUAUUUAACACUUAUCAACAAAUAGCUUAUAUAAAGUAAUUGGACCUCUUUUUCACAUUGUGGGUGGUGACAGUG